rnacentral:rRNA from 1 species
AUUGAACGCUGGCGGCAUGCCUAACACAUGCAAGUCGAACGCGAAAGGUCCUUGGGCGUUAGUAGAGUGGCGGACGGGUGAGUAACGCGUGGGAAUCUGCCCAGUAGUGGGGGAUAACUCGGGGAAACUCGAGCUAAUACCGCAUACGCCCUACGGGGAAAGGACUUCGGCCGCUAUUGGAUGAGCCCGCGUCAGAUUAGCUAGUUGGUAGGGUAAUGGCCUACCAAGGCGACGAUCUGUAGCUGGUCUGAGAGGACGAACAGCCACACUGGGACUGAGACACGGCCCAGACUCCUACGGGAGGCAGCAGUGGGGAAUAUUGGACAAUGGGCGAAAGCCUGAUCCAGCAAUGCCGCGUGUGUGAAGAAGGCCUGCGGGUUGUAAAGCACUUUCAGUUGGGAAGAUGAUGACGUUACCAACAGAAGAAGCACCGG